CCUCUUACAUAAGAAGAGACAAAAGAUCCUCAGCACCUUUCAUAUGAAAGAGCCUGAUAGCAGGAUGUCUACAUGACCAAAGGUGCUGUCUGCAGCAAACUAUAAGUUAAAGCAGCACAACGGAAGUCCAGAAGAGGAAAAUUUUAUAGUCGGCUGGGUCUUCCACCUCUCUAGAGUAUGCUUCUAUUGUUCAGAGUUCAUUUUUCCAAAAAUCAGCUCACAGAAAAGAAGACUCUUGCUCCUGGAGUCAAAAGAAAGUAAUAUUGAUGAGUAUAUGAAUGCAGAGUCAAGGCUUGUCCAUGAAACAAUGUUUACAAUGAAGAGGUGUUGGGGAAGGAGAGCAGAAGAGAAUUACCAGUCCCACCUGGCCCAGGGAUGGAAACUUCCUUAGGGAUGGAGGCUUCCUUGGGAUUGCAAGCUCCCAGUCAGACCUUUUGUAUGCCACAAUCUCCAGAAUUCCCCAACUGCUACAGUAACAGAAAAAGCCAAAUACUCCAGAGGAACUCACAAACUGAAUGUGAGGACAUUUCAGUAAUAACUCCAGUCCAGAGUUCUACUAAUUUCUGAGCAUCGCCCCCAACUCAAAGCCAGAAACAAAUAGAGAGUAAGAAACUAAAUGAGAUUAAAACCAUGCUUUCAAAGCCCCUGGAUUCCUGCCAGUUUACCAUGAAAAACCAAGAUCCUCCUCUAUUCCUUUUAAAUAGCCCUGAAAUCUAUCAGCUUCUGCCCUCCAUUGGUCCUCUGGACCAAAAGAAGAAGCCAUACUCUGAAAUUAUCCAUCUGGAAAAGAACAGCCUGAGUAUUGAGGACCAACGCACACUUCAAAAUGGGAUUAAAUCUAGCAGUGGUUUUGCAGACCUCCCUCACUGCACUUCUGGGAGAUAUUCACCUUCCUGAGCUUUUCAGUUCCUUGAAAGAUUUUGACCAACCUGAAAGUCUCACAAUCACAAAAUCCAAUGACACCAGAGCCAUCAUGGUGAAUCAGAGGCAGGAAAAACUCAACUGUCUAAAAGGGUCCUUGUAAUCCAGUGAGGAACAACAAACAUAAAGCCUCAGAGUGUCCUGAUGGAACUCCACAGGCCAAAAUGCAGCCCAGGGACCUAGAGUGCACAUUAGGAGGAGAAGUUGCUCACAGAGAUGCAGACAGUAGUAGGGCCCCUGUGCACACAGGCAAGCACUCUAACAGCAAACCUCAGAAAUCUGCAUCCAGCAGGAACAGCAAGGCUAAGGGCCAUGAGCAGGAAAAGACCAAGAGGAACAGAGAAAAUAACUCCAGGAAAGCCCAGGGGAGGAAGGAGCCAGGCAAUAAAGUCAAGGCAGAAGAGAAGCCAACCAUGCCGAAGAUGAAGCAGAAGAGAAACCCACCUGAGCUUUACCAAGAGAGCUUUAAAAAGCCUGAGGAGGGGCUGAGUUGUACCUCAGUGGUGGAACGCUCGCUUAGCACAUGUGAGGCACUGGGUUCUAUGUUCAGCAACACAUACAAAUUAAAGGAAGAUAUCGUGUCCAUCUACAACUGAAAAAAUGUUUUAAAAACAUUAGGAAAAAUGAGUUACUUUGGGGAUUAUGCUCAAUGGGAGCAGAUGAGCCUGGUUCCUAUCCUAGGAGCUCUACUUCCACAAGAAUAGCACUUGCACAAUAACAGUAUCCUCUUGCUGGACUCAUUCACUGUUAUAUCCCUAACACUAGAAACAGCUAUUCAAUCAGUAUUUAUCAAAAUGUUGAAUUGACUGUAUUUUGUCCUAUAUUGGCUCCUGCAAGGACCUGAACCAUACUUUAUGCCCUCUGUUUGACCAGCAUCUCCAGUGCCUCCAUUUCUUCAGGCAAAACACUAUAUUCAAAUUCUGAAGGGAAAGAGUCAACAGCAAAGUAGAUAAGAGGAAGAAUACUUAGGCACGAGCUACCUCUGAACCCUGCAAUUAAUAAAUCUGCUUCCUGAGAAUUCCUUAGGUAUCUGGACUCUUCUGUCUUAAUUCACCAUAACACUUUCAAAACAUCUUAUAGGUAUUCUUACAGUUUUACAUUCUCUUCUUAACAAUAAGUUAUUCCCUCCGUAAUACCUCACCAUACAAAUUUUGUGUAGAAAAUUAAACAAGCUGAA